UUCGGUUUUGAUCCGGA
rnacentral:misc_RNA from 1 species